CAACUCAAUUCUCAAAUACUUAGACAGAAUUUGUCCUUUCCCAUCCCUCCUUAGCUCUCUUUCUCAAUCUAAAAGCCAAGGGAGAAAGAGAGACAUAAAAUCUUCUCCACAUCACACAACCUACAAAAUAUCGACAUCGUCCGCCGCUUAAGCUUUGAUUUUGAGUCAGAAGCUCGCAAUGGCAAAGGAUAUGAGCAAGCCUUGGAUUGAGGUUGCACCAUCCCUUCUUGAUUUCCCAUGGAAGGGUUCUAGCUCUCCGAAAUUGGAGACAAUUUUGGAAGAGCUAGCAGAAGAGUAUAGUGAUGACGAUGAUUAGUGUUCUUGGUUGAAUGGGAGAUGGCAAUUAUGAGAGAGAGAGAGAGAGAGAGAGAGAGAGAGAGAGAGAGAGAGAGAGAGAGAGGGCUCACAAUUUGUGUUGUGUGCGGCUCUUUGAUAAUUGAUAUAUUAUCUUGUUAUGUACAUUUGUGAAUAUAUGUAAAUCAGUGUACAUAAUGCAAUUUGGCUUUCCUCUUAUGUUGGAAGUGACUUUUAUUCUUUAUGUUGUAGUUUAAGUAGUUAAGAACAUUUAGCCUUGCACUUGAGAUCAUAAAUUCGAUUCUCCUUUCUUCAAUAUCUCUUGUAUAAAAGAAAAAAGAAAAAAAAGAAAAAGCCAAUAGAAAGAAUUUGAUAAUAUUUUUGGGGGCUGAUAUUAUUAUUUUUGGGACUAAUGUUGAGGUCUCUCAAUUCUACUAUGGUCAAUAUAUUUUUG
rnacentral:lncRNA from 1 species